GGGUCCAGGCUCCGAGCUGUCAGCACAGAGCCCGACGUGGGGCUUGAACUCACAAACCGUGAGAUCGUGGACCUGAGCUGAAGUCAGUGCUUAACCAACUGAGCCACCCAGGUGCCCCUCUACCUGACUUCUAAAACAGCGUACAUGUAUAACUCGGAUAAAAAAUAAGGAAAUUCAGAAGUUGAAAAAUACAAGCAGAGCCAAGAAGAGGAGACAAACCUACGGUGAGGAGGCAUGGAAAGGGUAUGUGGGGAAUAGAUUUAUUUACAACCUUUGGGAGCAGGGCCGGAAGGCAAACAUGAACCUUCGGAGAAGAUUCCUGUAAAGGAAGGGAAUAUUAAAGGCUGUCCCCUAUCAACUGAGCUGCAGUGACAUCGGAGCCCUCUCGGAGCUGUGUGGUGCUGAGACGUGACAGACUUGAAGCAACCUCCAAUUUUGUCCUACCAUGUAGGACAGUGUCGGCAUCUCACGUGCGACCUGACUGCAGAACAACACAGCCGCACAGCUUUGUAAUUCACCAGAACGAAUCUGAUGUGGUGUGAACCAGCAGAAAUGAAGUUAUAAUCCUGAGUUUGGGAGAAGAUUUGUAGAUUAUCACAAUAAAGAAUUUAAAAGGA